rnacentral:tRNA from 1 species
CGGAACAUAGCUCAGUUGGUAGAGCAGAGGCCUUAUAAGCCUUGUGUCUGAGGUUCGAUUCCUCCUGUUCCGA